rnacentral:rRNA from 1 species
UACGUAGGGUGCGAGCGUUGUCCGGAAUUACUGGGCGUAAAGAGCUCGUAGGUGGUUUGUCGCGUUGUUCGUGAAAACUCACGGCUUAACUGUGAGCGUGCGGGCGAUACGGGCAGACUGGAGUACUGCAGGGGAGACUGGAAUUCCUGGUGUAGCGGUGGAAUGCGCAGAUAUCAGGAGGAACACCGGUGGCGAAGGCGGGUCUCUGGGCAGUAACUGACGCUGAGGUGCGAAAGCGUGGGGAGCAAACAGG